rnacentral:rRNA from 1 species
AGAGUUUGAUCCUGGCUCAGGAUGAACGCUGGCGGCGUGCCUAACACAUGCAAGUCGAACGAAGCGCCUUUUGAGAUUCUUCGGAUGAUUGAUUGGUGACUGAGUGGCGGACGGGUGAGUAACGCGUGGGUAACCUGCCCUGUACAGGGGGAUAACAGCUGGAAACGGCUGCUAAUACCGCAUAAGCGCACGAGGAGACAUCUUCUUGUGUGAAAAACUCCGGUGGUACAGGAUGGGCCCGCGUCUGAUUAGCUGGUUGGCAGGGUAACGGCCUACCAAGGCAACGAUCAGUAGCCGGUCUGAGAGGAUGAACGGCCACAUUGGAACUGAGACACGGUCCAAACUCCUACGGGAGGCAGCAGUGGGGAAUAUUGCACAAUGGGGGAAACCCUGAUGCAGCAACGCCGCGUGAGUGAAGAAGUAUUUCGGUAUGUAAAGCUCUAUCAGCAGGGAAGAUAAUGACGGUACCUGACUAAGAAGCUCCGGCUAAAUACGUGCCAGCAGCCGCGGUAAUACGUAUGGAGCAAGCGUUAUCCGGAUUUAUUGGGUUUAAAGGGAGCGUAGGCCGGAGAUUAAGCGUGUUGUGAAAUGUAGACGCUCAACGUCUGCACUGCAGCGCGAACUGGUUUCCUUGAGUACGCACAAAGUGGGCGGAAUUCGUGGUGUAGCGGUGAAAUGCUUAGAUAUCACGAAGAACUCCGAUUGCGAAGGCAGCUCACUGGAGCGCAACUGACGCUGAAGCUCGAAAGUGCGGGUAUCGAACAGGAUUAGAUACCCUGGUAGUCCGCAAGGUAAACGAUGGAUGCCCGCUGUUGGUCUGAACAGGUCAGCGGCCAAGCGAAAGCAUUAAGCAUCCCACCUGGGGAGUACGCCGGCAACGGUGAAACUCAAAGGAAUUGACGGGGGCCCGCACAAGCGGAGGAACAUGUGGUUUAAUUCGAUGAUACGCGAGGAACCUUACCCGGGCUUGAAUUGCAGAGGAAGGAUUUGGAGACAAUGACGCCCUUCGGGGUCUCUGUGAAGGUGCUGCAUGGUUGUCGUCAGCUCGUGCCGUGAGGUGUCGGCUUAAGUGCCAUAACGAGCGCAACCCCUCUCCUUAGUUGCCAUCAGGUUAAGCUGGGCACUCUGGGGACACUGCCACCGUAAGGUGUGAGGAAGGUGGGGAUGACGUCAAAUCAGCACGGCCCUUACGUCCGGGGCUACACACGUGUUACAAUGGCAGGUACAGAGAGACGGUUGUACGUAAGUACGAUCAAAUCCUUAAAGCCUGUCUCAGUUCGGACUGGGGUCUGCAACCCGACCCCACGAAGCUGGAUUCGCUAGUAAUCGCGCAUCAGCCAUGGCGCGGUGAAUACGUUCCCGGGCCUUGUACACACCGCCCGUCAAGCCAUGAAAGCCGGGGGCGCCUAAAGUCCGUGACCGUAAGGAGCGGCCUAGGGCGAAACUGGUAAUUGGGGCUAAGUCGUAACAAGGUA